rnacentral:rRNA from 1 species
GAUGAACGCUGGCGGCGUGCUUAACACAUGCAAGUCGAACGGAAAGGCCCAAGCUUGCUUGGGUACUCGAGUGGCGAACGGGUGAGUAACACGUGGGUGAUCUGCCCUGCACUUCGGGAUAAGCCUGGGAAACUGGGUCUAAUACCGGAUAGGACGAUGGUUUGGAUGCCAUUGUGGAAAGUUUUUUCGGUGUGGGAUGAGCUCGCGGCCUAUCAGCUUGUUGGUGGGGUAAUGGCCUACCAAGGCGUCGACGGGUAGCCGGCCUGAGAGGGUGUACGGCCACAUUGGGACUGAGAUACGGCCCAGACUCCUACGGGAGGCAGCAGUGGGGAAUAUUGCACAAUGGGCGCAAGCCUGAUGCAGCGACGCCGCGUGGGGGAUGACGGCCUUCGGGUUGUAAACUCCUUUCGCUAGGGACGAAGCGUCUUGUGACGGUACCUGGAGAAGAAGCACCGGCUAACUACGUG